rnacentral:lncRNA from 1 species
UAAGGUUUAGAGUUAAGGGGUGGGGUUUAGGAUUUAGGGUUUAGGGUUUAGGGUUUAGAGUUUAGGGUUUAGAGUUUUGGGUUUAGGGUUUAGGGUUUAGAGUUUAGGGUUUUGGGUUUAGAGUUGAGAAAUGAGGUUUUGGGGGUAAGAUUUCAAAGUUUGAAAAAUAAAAAAAUUGAAAUUUUCAAAGGAUAAACUCAGAAAUGUGCUAUUU